UCGAGCGAAGCGCUUGAAUCUGAUUCUUCGGAUGAGGAUUCUUGUGACUGAGCGGCGGACGGGUGAGUAACGCGUGGGCAACCUGCCUUACACAGGGGGAUAACAGUUAGAAAUGACUGCUAAUACCGCAUAAGACCGCAGUACCGCAUGGUACAGCGGUAAAAACUCCGGUGGUGUAAGAUGGGCCCGCGUCUGAUUAGGUAGUUGGCGGGGUAACGGCCCACCAAGCCGACGAUCAGUAGCCGACCUGAGAGGGUGACCGGCCACAUUGGGACUGAGACACGGCCCAGACUCCUACGGGAGGCAGCAGUGGGGAAUAUUGCACAAUGGGGGAAACCCUGAUGCAGCGACGCCGCGUGAGCGAUGAAGUAUUUCGGUAUGUAAAGCUCUAUCAGCAGGGAAGAAAAUGACGGUACCUGACUAAGAAGCCCCGGCUAACUACGUGCCAGCAGCCGCGGUAAUACGUAGGGGGCAAGCGUUAUCCGGAUUUACUGGGUGUAAAGGGAGCGUAGACGGCUGUGCAAGCCAGAUGUGAAAGCCCGGGGCUCAACCCCGGGACUGCAUUUGGAACUGUGUGGCUGGAGUGUCGGAGAGGCAGGCGGAAUUCCUAGUGUAGCGGUGAAAUGCGUAGAUAUUAGGAGGAACACCAGUGGCGAAGGCGGCCUGCUGGACGAUGACUGACGUUGAGGCUCGAAAGCGUGGGG
rnacentral:rRNA from 1 species